rnacentral:rRNA from 1 species
UACGAAGGGUGCGAGCGUUGUUCGGAAUUACUGGGCGUAAAGGGUGUGUAGGCGGAUUGCAAAGAUAGAGGUGAAAGGCCUGGGCUCAACCUGGGAACUGCCUUUAUAACUUGCAGUCUAGAGAUCGAGAGAGGAUAGCGGAAUUCCUAGUGUAGAGGUGAAAUUCGUAGAUAUUAGGAAGAACACCAGUGGCGAAGGCG